UACGGAGGGGGCUAGCGUUGUUCGGAAUUACUGGGCGUAAAGCGCACGUAGGCGGCUUUGUAAGUUAGAGGUGAAAGCCCGGAGCUCAACUCCGGAAUUGCCUUUAAGACUGCAUCGCUAGAAUUGUGGAGAGGUGAGUGGAAUUCCGAGUGUAGAGGUGAAAUUCGUAGAUAUUCGGAAGAACACCAGUGGCGAAGGCGACUCACUGGACACAUAUUGACGCUGAGGCGCGAAAGCGUGGGAGCAAACAGG
rnacentral:rRNA from 1 species